AAUACAUAUUCAACGUUUUUUUCGUUUAUUUUUAUGACUUUUGUACAGUAGUAUAAAUCGUCUACCCUUUGGAUGGAAAGCAAAUGAUUUAUCCGGAUUUUGUUCAUCCGAAACUAAAUCACUAGUAUCAACAUCCGGUGUAAUUUUUGCUUGUAUUUUGGAGAAACUCGAUUGAUUUCUAGCAAACUUGGUUUACCACUACAUCGUCGCUUAUUAUUAUUUGAUACACUGUGUUUUGUGUGGAUAAGAAAUGCAGAGUGGUACCACCAAUCACCUAAGCCACCAUUCCCCUAACAGACAAUAGGCUCAUGGGGACAGUUCCUGCAAUUUACAGAAAAGCUCUCAAUUGUAGCCCUACGAACUUCAGAUACUGCUGAUGGUGAAGCUUGGGUGCACCGGGCCGGUUUUCCAGCCUUGUGGAAUCAACAUCUCCAGCUGAACUGGGGCCGGGAAUUAUAUAAGACUCCUUAGCAGCAUG